rnacentral:rRNA from 1 species
GCUUAACACAUGCAAGUCGAACGAACUGCGUAGCAAUACGUAGUUAGUGGCAGACGAGGUAGUAACACGUAGGUACGUACCGAAAAGUCGGGCAUAGCUCGUUGAAAGACGGGGUAAUUCUCGAUAGUCCCGAAAGGGUAAAGGAGUAAUCCGCUUUUUGAACGGCCUGCGGGAUAUCAGCUAGUUGGUAGGGUAACGGCCUACCAAGGCUAUGACGUCUAGGGGCGCUGAGAGGCGGACCCCCACCGAUAGCACUGAGACACGGGCUAUACACCUACGGGUGGCCGCAGUCGAGAAUCUUCGGCAAUGGGCGAAAGCCUGACCGAGCGACGCCGCGUGAUGGAUGAAGUCUCUUGGGACGUAAACAUCUUUUAUGAGGGAGGAAGUUUUGACUGUACCUCAUGAAUAAGGGGCUCCUAAACUCGUGCCAGCAGGAGCGGUAAGACGAGUGCCUCGAGCGUUACCCGGAAUCACUGGGCGUAAAGGGUGUGUAGGAGGUUGUGUUAGUCCUUUGUGAAAGCUCCCGGGCUCAACCCGGGGAACGCAGGGGAAACGGCGCGACUAGAGGAUGUGAGGGGUGUGCGGAACUCUCGGUGUAGGGGUGAAAUCCGUUGAUAUCGAGGGGAACACCAAAAGCGAAGGCAGCACACUGGCGCAUUCCUGACUCUGAGACACGAAAGCGUGGGGAUCGAACGGGAUUAGAUACCCCGGUAGUCCACGCCCUAAACGAUGUUCCCUGGCUCUUCGGAGUAUCGACCCUCUGAGGGGCGAAGCUAACGCGUUAAGGGAACCGCCUGGGUAGUACGACCGCAAGGUUAAAACUCAAAGGAAUAGACGGGGGCUCGCACAAGCGGUGGAUCAUGUGGCUUAAUUCGUCGGUAAGCGAAAAACCUCACCAGGGUUAGAAACUCACACGAAUCUUUUUGGAAACAUAAAGAGUCUUCGGACGGGUGAGCAGGUGAUGCAUGGUCGUCGUCAGUUCGUGGCUUGAGUUGUUCCCUUCAGUGGGGAAACGAACGCAACCCUCAUUGCCUGUUACAAGUGUCAGGCGAGACUGCUCCCUCACGGGAGAGGAAGGUGAGGAUGACGCCAGAUCAGCAUGUCCCUCUGAUACCCUGGGCUGCACACGUGAUACAAUGCCUACUACAACAGGACGCAAUGGAGUAAUCCGGAGCAAACCCUUAGAAAAGUAGGCUCAGUUCGGAUUGAGGUCUGCAACUCGACCUCAUGAAGCUGGAAUCGCUAGUAAUCGCAGGUCAGCAACACUGCGGUGAAUACGUUCUCGAGCCUUGCACACA